UUUCAACUCUACAGCAGUGAUGAAUACCCGCCAUUCUGCUGUGCUUAUCAUUCGUUUGGCACGCAUUUCGGUGGAGGAAGAUUGAGAAGGAGCAACUCUAUUGCUAGGGGCAAAAUGCUGUUGCGUGUUCAAUUCGGGGAAGAGCAGAAAUACGUGAAGGUGUCUGAGCUGACAUUCGAUGCUUUCUUGAAAGAAGGUGCCUCUCAAUCAUCAUCAUGCUCGGGUACAUCUGAUGACACCGUCAUCCUGAAUUUCACAAUGUGUGACCCUGUUGAAGAAG